rnacentral:rRNA from 1 species
UGCAGUCGANGGUAACAUUUCUAGCUUGCUAGAAGAUGACGAGUGGCGGACGGGUGAGUAAUGCUUGGGAACUUGCCUUUGCGAGGGGGAUAACAGUUGGAAACGACUGCUAAUACCGCAUAAUGUCUUCGGACCAAACGGGGCUUCGGCUCCGGCGCAAAGAGAGGCCCAAGUGAGAUUGGCUAGUUGGUAAGGUAACGGCUUACCAAGGCGACGAUCUCUAGCUGUUCUGAGAGGAAGAUCAGCCACACUGGGACUGAGACACGGCCCAGACUCCUACGGGAGGCAGCAGUGGGGAAUAUUGCACAAUGGGGGAAACCCUGAUGCAGCCAUGCCGCGUGUGUGAAGAAGGCCUUCGGGUUGUAAAGCACUUUCAGUUGUGAGGAAAAGUUAGUAGUUAAUACCUGCUAGCCGUGACGUUAACAACAGAAGAAGCACCGGCUAACUCCGUGCCAGCAGCCGCGGUAAUACGGAGGGUGCGAGCGUUAAUCGGAAUUACUGGGCGUAAAGCGCACGCAGGCGGUUUGUUAAGCUAGAUGUGAAAGCCCCGGGCUCAACCUGGGAUGGUCAUUUAGAACUGGCAGACUAGAGUCUUGGAGAGGGGAGUGGAAUUCCAGGUGUAGCGGUGAAAUGCGUAGAUAUCUGGAGGAACAUCAGUGGCGAAGGCGACUCCCUGGCCAAAGACUGACGCUCAUGUGCGAAAGUGUGGGUAGCGAACAGGAUUAGAUACCCUGGUAGUCCACACCGUAAACGCUGUCUACUA